rnacentral:rRNA from 1 species
GACGAACGCUGGCGGCGUGCUUAACACAUGCAAGUCGAACGGAAAGGCCCUGCUUGCAGGGUACUCGAGUGGCGAACGGGUGAGUAACACGUGGGUGAUCUGCCCUGCACUUCGGGAUAAGCCUGGGAAACUGGGUCUAAUACCGGAUAGGAGCCAUUUUUAGUGCGAUGGUUGGAAAGUUUUUUCGGUGUAGGAUGAGCUCGCGGCCUAUCAGCUUGUUGGUGGGGUAAUGGCCUACCAAGGCGGCGACGGGUAGCCGGCCUGAGAGGGUGGACGGCCACAUUGGGACUGAGAUACGGCCCAGACUCCUACGGGAGGCAGCAGUGGGGAAUAUUGCACAAUGGGCGCAAGCCUGAUGCAGCGACGCCGCGGGGGGGAUGACGGCCUUCGGGUUGUAAACUCCUUUCGCUAGGGACGAAGCUUUUUGUGACGGUACCUAGAGAAGAAGCACCGGCUAACUACGUG